UCCUACGGGAGGCAGCAGUAGGGAAUCUUCCGCAAUGGACGAAAGUCUGACGGAGCAACGCCGCGUGAGUGAUGAAGGUCCUCGGAUCGUAAAACUCUGUUGUUAGGGAAGAACAAGUACCGUUCGAAUAGGGCGGUACCUUGACGGUACCUAACCAGAAAGCCACGGCUAACUACGUGCCAGCAGCCGCGGUAAU
rnacentral:rRNA from 1 species